UACAGAGGUCUCAAGCGUUGUUCGGAAUUACUGGGCGUAAAGGGUGCGCAGGCUGCGCGGGAAGUCAAAUGUGAAAUUCAGGGGCUCAACCCCUGCAUUGCGCUUGAUACUUCCGCGCUCGAGCCUUGGAAAGGAGUCUGGAAUUCUCGGUGUAGCAGUGAAAUGCGUAGAUAUCAAGAGGAACACCUGCGGCGAAGGCGGGUUGCUGGGCCGACACUGACGCUGAGGCGCGAAAGCCAGGGGAGCGAACGGG
rnacentral:rRNA from 1 species